UGGGGAAUAUUGGACAAUGGGCGAAAGCCUGAUCCAGCCAUGCCGCGUGUGUGAAGAAGGUCUUCGGAUUGUAAAGCACUUUAAGUUGGGAGGAAGGGCAGUAAGCGAAUACCUUGCUGUUUUGACGUUACCGACAGAAUAAGCACCGGCUAACUCUGUGCCAGCAGCCGCGGUAAUACAGAGGGUGCAAGCGUUAAUCGGAAUUACUGGGCGUAAAGCGCGCGUAGGUGGUUCGUUAAGUUGAAUGUGAAAGCCCCGGGCUCAACCUGGGAACUGCAUCCAAAACUGGCGAGCUAGAGUAGGGCAGAGGGUGGUGGAAUUUCCUGUGUAGCGGUGAAAUGCGUAGAUAUAGGAAGGAACACAAGUGGAGAAGGCGAACACCUGGGCUCAUACUGAAACUGAGGUGAGAAAGCGUGGGGGGCAAACAGG
rnacentral:rRNA from 1 species